CAGGGCUCUGCAGAAACAAAGCAAGAGCAAUCAGAAGCCACACUGCUAGGUUUUUACAAGAUUUUUAAAACAAUAUAACCUAAUGAAAUCCAGAAUCUGGAAAGCUUUUAAAGUGAGACAAAAAUACAAACUAGAGAGAACUAAACUCUGUACUCAGGUUGUUAAUGAAAUCCAAAAAAAGCAACUAAAUCAAAAUGUUCAGAACAGUGAGAAAAGAGCAAAUUGCUGGUGUAGCUGGACUGGAAUCAGCACUGCGGACAUGAGAAAGGCAACAGGCUUCUAAGAGCAUGUGUGUUCUCUAGGGACAUGCUGGCAUGCGGGGCUGACUUUUGCUGAGGAAUGGACUAAAGGCACUCUGUGAGCCAUGGCCAAUCAGAAUGGCUGGAGGUAAUUUCACUUUUGCCUGGACUGGCAAUGAGAGCACCGGAGAGCAAUGAAUGCAAUCUAGAGGGUGCUACUCCCAUCCUUCCUCUAGUAGAGCCACUGUGUGUCCAUCCAUUUGAACAACAAUGUUCACAGGACAGGCACCGGAGACAUGACAAUCAAGUGCACAGCAGAGCCUUGCCCACCUUCUGCAGCGGCUGUCAGGGACAGCCUCACAAGGCUUAGGAACACAGCUCUGGUUUCUGGAAGCCUCUGGCUUUGGUAAAUUGCAGUACACAAGAGAAAUACAGUUCAAGUCCUAGGGUGAAUUCAGGGGAGAGUGACCUCUCACAAACGGUUCCUGAGAAAGCAGCUGUCUGGGUUCAGGGGAGUCCUUUAAGACACACAGGCCUUUAAACCAGGAACUGCUCUCAGAGUAAGCAGGUUCUCAAGAGUGCACACACUCAGCCAGAAGUAAGCCUGGCUGGGAGCCAUGUGCUUGGCAAGCUGCAGUCACCUAUGGGCUUGUAAUAGAGUUUGCACUGAGCGAGCAGGUCUGACACACUGCUGCACACAGAGCUACAGAAGCGACUCCAAAAAUGAAAAAAAAAGCUUUCUAUACACAUCAGAGUAAGACUCUGUGCAGAAACCAAGUGUCCUGCCCUUGUUCAGGUUGUUUAGGUGCCUGGGCACCAACCAGAGAAAACUCACAAGCACCUGGGAUCCUGGUUUCAUUUCUGCAAAUAUGUCCUUUCUAUAGAAAUGAUCUUUCCCAGAGACCAGAGCUCCCACUGGACACAUCUGUUAAUAGUGUGCCCACCUCUUUCCCACAUCAGAGAACUGAGAUCCACAGCCAGCCCCAAGUGGCCACCCAUGGUUAUUACCGCUUGCUUGCUUGCUUCCCUAAGUGGGGGCAUAUGUUUCAUUAAACACAUGAGGUAACUGCUGCUCUGUAUCUCUGGAAGUGCCCUCCUGUCUUACCAAAGUGACUCAUCGCCAGAGCAGAGCAGAAGCACUGGCCCUCUGCACUGCUCAAGUCACUAAAAAUGGGUCGUUUUGCUGAUUUCACCAGCAACUACUUGAUAUGUAAGUUCCAGGAUGCUGCAGAGAGUCCCCAAGGAAUAGACAGCAAACACUCUGGCUUGGGGCCACUCCGUCCUGGCAUCAAGAAAGGCCAAGGUACCUAUCCACGGACACCACCUGGCAAUGGCAACACCGUCCACACUAGAAUACAAGGAAACAAGGUCCAUGUGCCAGAUGCUGGGCCAUGAAUGCUGGGGACAAUGACACAAUGGCUGUCAACUGGGAGCUCCAGCCGUGCUGUGGGUUAAAUGUGGGAUGUCCCCAACUGAUGACAUGUCUAGGAAGACGGUGGUACCUUUAGGAGGCGGAGAACUGAAGAAGUGGGCCACUGGGGCCAGACCUGGAAGUUUUACAGCCUGGCCCCAAUUCCUAUUUAUCUCUGCUUCCUGGUGGCAGAGUCAGUGUGACACAUCAGCCUCGUGACCCUGACACUAUGCCUUCCCACAAAAAUGGACUCUCUUCCCUACAUGACAGGGCACAAUUAAAUCCUUCCUCAGUCACUGCAGUGAGACAGCGUGACCCGUUAGUCUACAGGUCACAGGGAACCAAGACUCCUAGCCCUCCGCCCCUCACAGUGCCAAGCACAGACGUACUCUACGAUGGCGUCUCGGUCUGCGAUGUCCCCGAGCACCAUGCGCUGGAUGAUGCUGUUAUGCUCCUCUUCCGAGAGGUUCUUGUAGGACACCAGGGGGAUGUUAUACUUGGUGGCUGGUGAGGGGUCCACUCCCUGGAGCCAAGGGUGGCUUUCAAUCUCUUCCAGAGAGGCUCUCCUUUUGGGGUCUCUCUGCAGCAUCCGUGUGAUCAGGCUGUGAAAGAAGGGAGCCAUUACUGAAGCACACUGUUUGCAAGGACUGGUAAUGAUGGGCGUCACCAACAAGCACGGUUUCUUACACAGCCACAAUUUCUAGGCUCGCUGACAUGAGAACCUGGUGCCACCACAUUUAUAAAAUAAAACAAUCUCAGCCUCCUGGUGUCCUGAUGAGGGACAAAGCUUCCUGCUUUUUAAAAGAAACAACCCUAACCCUGAAUCACAAGCUGGCCUAGUGCACACAGACACUGCACCACCCAGCUUGUCUCAUAGGAAUGGAUGACUCUCCUGAUGGAAAUAAGGCCAUGUGACAACUUUUUAGGAAUACUUGAUGCGGAAUCACGUGGACAAACAGCUGGUAGCUUCAACUGUCCCCUGCUUUGUGUGGAAGGCCACACUGGGUUCAUGUUACUGAAUACAAGGGGCAGCAGCUAGUCACAGUGGAAGGAAAGCUCUCGGAAAGAGAGGACUCCAUCUCAGUGCCCAAUGAGAAAUGAGAGAGAAAUCCACUCCUCAGAAGAGGACCAGAAGGAAGCUGUGAGCUCAGCUCUGGAAGACCCCACUCCUUUCUGUAGAAUGUGCCUUGAAAGAACUUCAGCACAAAGUUUCAGUGAGCAGGUCAAACUCACAACGGAAAUGAGGAGCCAUCAGCAAGACCCCAACAGCAAAUCAGAAUGUACUGCACACUUUCACGGUUAACAGUGCUCAGACAGAAUCAAACUCACAUGACUGCGUAACAAGAACAGGCAAAAUUAUGCUAGACGGGCUUCUAAAAGUGAAAAAUAACCUCUGUAAUUGAAAAAGGUAAGCAAUGGACACAUUUAAGAAAUUAAAUGUAAGAGAAUUCAUGAAAUGAAAUACAAAGCCAAGAAGACACUUUUCUUUGUAGGCUCGAUAGAAAAUACCAAGAUUGAAAGAUGAGACAAAGUGCAAAUAGCUAACAGCCUGGAGGAUAUGAAAAAGAGAAAGAAAGAAAGCAUAUUUGGGAAGGUAGUAGCUGAGAAUUUUCCAAAUUCAUGAAAGAAUGUAACUCAUAAGCUAGAGAGCCUAACACAGUCUAAGCACAACACAUGGACGCUCCAAGAGAAAAGCAGAACUCUGAAGCAGGAGCUAUCAGGCAGACAGCUGACUUCUUGAUGCAACCAUUGAUUCUGAGAAAGGCUGGAAGGACAUCAGAGAGAGAAAGGACCAGGGGUGACCUUCAUGGACACACAGCAUAAAGACACUCCUAAGGCAGCAUUAACCACCAACAGCAAGUGCAAAUAUGAAAGAUAUAAUUCUGAGAAGGGAGUUAGCAAAGUUCCUGUCAAACAUCUAGAAGAUAAUCAACAAUAUAUAUACAUACAUACAUACAUACAUAUAUGUAUACACACACACACACACAUAUUCAAAGAUUUACUUAUUUGUCGUGUAUACAACAUUCUGCUUCCAUGUACACUUUCAUGCCCGAAAGGGUGCCAGAUUUUAUUAUAGAUGGUUGUGAGCCACCAUGUGGUUGCUGGGAAUUGAACUCAGGUCUCCUCUGGAGGAGCAGUCAAUGCUCUUAACCUCUGAGCCAUCUCUCCAGCCCCUUAUCAACAAUUUGACUAUAUAAAAAUUUCAAUUUGUAGAGUUAGAAAAAAAUUACUAAAGUAUUAGAUGAUAGUUAAAAUAUUAGUAUUUUAAAAUGUUUUAGAAGACAAUAGAAGUAUUAACUGUAGAUUUUUUAAAAGCUAAAAUAAUAGCCUACAACUCCCAGCUAGCUGAAACAUGAGAUAAAUGGCAGAAAAGGAAAGUCACCACCACGCUCCAGGGCAGAAGGUAAGGUCAAAGAAGAGUGCAGAGACACACCCAUAGCUGUAUUUACCACUGCACACAACAAACCCAGAUGGAACAAGCUCCACAGCUGUAAAGAUAGAAACUGCCAUGCGAUUCAACAAGUCAGACUGUUCAAAAAGAUGAGGAAAACUGUCAUACACAGAUGCUGACCCAACACGGCAGGUGUGGGUAACCCUUGAAAUGCCACACACAGGCCUAAACAGGAAGCAUUACUCUGGUGUAAACGGACACUGAGGGCUAAUUCAAUUCAUCAGGAAGACAGCAGUUUUCAACUUACCUGCAUCUAAGAACUUCAAAACUGACAAACCUUAAGAAUAAAGCUACUGCCAAAGUGGAAGAGUAUCUCAGCAGGUGAAAAGAACACUGGAUGCAAACAACUUUUAAAAAUAUAAUUAAUGAAAAAAUAUAAUUAAUGAGCUUGACCUUACAGAUGUAUAUAGACCUCUGACCCCAACUUGAAAAUACACUCUACCAAGAACAAUUAUCUUCAUGAUAGGCACAAACAAGCCUCAAAAACGUGAAAACAUGGUAACAUGCAGACUGUAUUCUCUGACUAUAAUGUAGCAUAGGAAUCAAAAACAUCAAUCAGCUAACUAGAAAUGAAACCACCUGUAAACAAGGCAAGUAUUAAAUAAGGCAAUGAAAGCUAGGAAACUCUAUGAGUCGAAUAACAAAGACUGUUUAUCAAAUCCAGUGUGAUGAAGCAAUUUAUAGUCCUAAACAUUUUAAUCGUAAAAGAAAUUCGAUGAGCUGAAUAACUAACAAAAUCAGCUCCCAGGUUAGGUAGAAGAAAUAACACCAAUAAGAGGACAGGCAGGAAGCAUCAGAAGCCAGUCCUCAUGAAGAGACAGAGCAAGCAGCAGGCUUCAGACUGAGGACAACAGGAGGAAGCAUGCAUGCAGACAGCGGUACCCUGGUUAGUAAAGGUCUCACAGACACUCAAGGUCAAUACAUCAAAUAGGUAGAUACAAUGGGAAAGUUCCUUAAAAUACGCCACUUAGCAAAACACACUAGAAAAGGUUGGUUUUUUUGUUUUGUUUUUCUGUGUAGCCUUGGCUGUCCCAGAACUAGCUUUGUAAAUCAGGCUGGCUGUUAACUCAGGGAAAUGCACCUGCCUCUGCCCCCAGAAUACUGAUUAAAGGUGUGUGUCACCACCUUCCACUGUUGCUUUGCUUCUUAUCUGAAUGGUCUUACAGUUAUUAAAACAAUCCUUCUAGGAAGGAGACACAGAGGCAACAUCUCAGAACUUAGGAGAGGAGCAUCCAUGUUGAUUCUAUAGCCUGUAGGCUUCCAAUGACACAGUUUUAUGCAAAGUGAGAUUUGUUUUUAACUGGGGACAGAGAAGAUAAUCUGACCUGCACUUGGUGUACACAGGCUUCCUAGCUGGAAGAGUAAGAGACAGAACCUGAAUCACCACCCACCCACCCAGCUCCCCUUGUCCUAAAGCACAAAAUCACCACACACACACACACACACACACACACACACACACGCGCACACACCCCUACCUUCCCGUGUGCUCUAACCUAAAACCACCACAUACACCAACACAACUCCAGUAUGCUCCAACCUAAAAUCACUACCAACAGACACAUCUACAGAGUCUCCUAUGUGCCUCAGCCUAAAUCACCAACACACAUACUGCACACACACUCCUUGACUCAUAUGUGAUCUAACCUAAAAUCAACAACAGGCACACAGGAUCUACUGAGUACUACAGUGUGAAACCACCAGGACCAACAUAAACAUACACACAGACUUCAUGUGCUCCAGCCUAAAAUCAACAACCACCAAUAUAGGAGACAGAGCUUCUCAUGUGCGCUAGACUAAAAUCAUCAUCACACCAACACACACAGCCUCCUGUGUGCUACAACUCACAAUCACCAACAUGAGUAACAUAUAGCCUACAAUCACCAGUAGGCACCAGCAACAUACACACAGCUUCCCACAUGCUCCACCCCCAAAUCACCACCCCCAUCGUACACAGAGCCUCGCCUAUGCUCCAGCCUGAACCAAUGCUUUACAGUAUCACCUCAUCAUUUUCACAGUAAUAAGUAUACUGCACCAUGCUCACAUAGGCAGUAAGCUAAAAAGCCAGUAUUUGAGCCCCCAGAAUUGAAUGCCCAAGUUGGGAUUCUAUCUGAAAAAGAACCCCCAAUCUGUUGUAGCUCUUCCUUACAGCUGACAGGAAAAACUCUAAAUUUUGUUGAUAUAGAAAAAAAUAUUUUAACUGGCAACUACAAUCUCAGCUGGUUCAUUUAAAAAUAUCAAAAACUUCAAAAAGCCCUCUUCCAAGAUUGCAUCUCUCACUGCACUGGUGAUGGCACUAUAAUCCUGCAAACUCACAGGGAGAAACCCCAAAGCCAGUCAGUGCUGACUUCCCACAGCGGCACACAACGAAGUACAGUCUUUACUCUGCUGUGGGAGGGUGUGUGAACACAGGACUUGCUACCACGAGACGAUGCAGGAGGAACCCUGCAACGAUAGGCUCCUGCCAAGAGGAAAGCCCAAGUCUUCUCUGGAAUUUCAAACAGUUCCAAACAGUCUAGCUUUUGCAAUUGAAGAAAAAGUCAGCUAAGGGAAGGUCUUAACCACAACUUCUGGAGGCUGAAAAGGCAAAAUGGAUUUCUUGAAAACAUGGGUUAGAAUGUUUUAUACUCUUGUGUUGAAUUUCUUAUCAAAUACUAAUGGGUGGCCCCAAACGCUAACAGUAGAAAUAUUAAUCUCAUAAAUUAAAUGAACUGAAGUCCUUGCAUGCUGAGGGUAUGCCAGGCCCUCACCAUGUGUUGGUGAGCCGUUUCUGUUUAAUGGAGCUGUGCCGUGUGCACAGGCUUUACUUACUCCCUGCACCCCGCAGACACACGGGGCGGCACAGUGUACUUGCAGUCCAUAAUCAUGGUCAGGGUCUCGCUGUCGUUGGCCUCCUGGAAGGGCGGCUGUCCACACACCAGCAUGAAAAGGAUCACGCCCAGGCUCCAUAUGUCUACAAAGGAAAGACAACAUUUACACAGAGUAUCUAGAAAACCAGGAUCAUUAGGAUGAGGAAAGGUAGGCUAACAAGUAUUGUAUCCUUAAAGUAAAAAUACACAAAGCAGACUGCAAAACCUAUACAGAGCAGAAGAAUCAGCCUGUCUAAUAGGAGGAAAACUAGGAAAUCAGUUUGCCCAGGUUUAAGCCAAGGGACAAGGUCCGCUUUCCCCAAGUGACCAUAGCACACCCAGCAUUAAAAGCAUUAAACUGUGAGGCUGGAAACGAUUUGCCUGAGGUCAGCAUUAUCUCCAUUGUUCUCCCUCAUUCUGAGGUGGUAAGCAGGUCAUAUGGGUGCUGAGAGAAAACUGCAGCCCAGAGACAAGCAAAAUACAGCUAUCACGCAAACCAAUCAAAAGCCCAAACUGGGUCUGUACCACAUUAUAUGGCAAAGCUGAGCCCACGGUUUAAGAACUCAGCCUGCAAACAGUAAGAGUUGCUCAACAGAAAAGUUAAGCCAUGGGGGACUGGGAGAAAGACAGCUCACCUGUUAGGUGAGGAGCUGGCUGCCUCUGGUGCCAGCACCCACAGGGUGGCCAGCAGCCUCCUGUACCUCAAGCUGCAGAGGCUCUAACACCCUCUCUCGGUCUCCAUGGGCACUGCACUCAUGUGCACCCCCCAACACACAUUAUUUUAAAGUAAAAUAAAUACUUAUUUUUUAUAAGAAGAAGGGGCAAGUUUCUUGUCAUUAAAAUAUCCUGGUAUUGCCCAUCUUUGGACAAGCUAUUGUCCUGACAGACCGACCCUGCCCAGUGUAAAGCUGCAGGAACUAGUUUCUGAGGAUUCACAAAAAUAAACAACCUCCUUUUGUCUUUAAAUAAAAUACAAACCUAUCAAUUGGGGGGGGUGAUGAUUUUGGAAAUUUCCUAAAGGUUGAAAAGAGGUUUUAAGAGGAUUUAAGAAGGGCAUCACAAAUUCAUUCAUUCCAGAAAUGAAAAUAUAUGUGUGGUAAUACACACAUACACACUCACACACAUACUCUCUUUCUCCCUCUCCAGCAGCUUUCUGAAUACACACUCAGAAGAGAACUGUGCACCAUGGAGUCUGUCUGCCACGUCAUUAUACCUGCGCACAGGCAACUGCUGUUUUCAUGUAAAACACCCAAAAUAAUGGCAGUACCAAGCUAAGAAAAUAUAAGUUUGUGAAUCAAAUAUCAUUUCCUUGUUUCAAAUGAAAAAGGAGAGCAACAAGCAAGAGCCCACCCUUCCUCACAGUGUGGCUUUUCAGGUGUGUGGCACAUUUUGCUGUGGGUGUACUUAUGAAAAGUCAUUAGGAGGAGGACACACACACACACAGACCACUCCAUCUAAUCCCAAGGACAUGUCUAGCCCUGCUCUCAACACUGGCUGCCUUCUUCUUGGACCUCAGAAGUCUCUACUCAAAUCACUUCAGUAAGGACAGUCAACCACACUUAUUAUUUAAAUAAACAUUAAGAAGUAUUGAAAUCUCAAGUCUCGUCAGACCUUAAUAAGGUUUUUAAAGGAAAUUAACUGAUUUUUAACUUAAACUCUCCUUGUACAACUUUUAAAAGAUUUAUAUGUAUGUUUUGAAUGUAUGUAUGUAUGUAUGUAUGUAUGUAUGUAUGUAUGUAUGCCACAUGCAUGCAGUGCUGUGGAAGUCAGAAAGAAAUGUUGGAUCCCCUGGAACUGAAGUUACAAACAGCUGAGAGCCAGGAUAGUCAUGGAAUCACCCUCUGAAACUCUAAGCACAUAGUAAACUCUUUCUCCUAUAAGUUGCCUUGGUUAUCAUGUCUUAGUACAUCAAUAAAAAUCUAAGUAAGACAAUGGUCAUUUCCUCAAGCAAACUAAUACUUUGUCUACUGCAUGGUCAGAGGGUCCCCUACGAAGAAAAUCAAUGCAACAAGCAAACCCCAGUCUGGUUAGUGUUCGUACGUUUCUCCAUAUAGAACUAUGUAGAAGCUAAGGAACUUAGAAACACAGCGCUGUACUAAGAAAUGGACAUAAGUUUGAAGCAUUUCGGUAAGAACCGUAAGAUAACACAUCCAACAGUUUCUGAAGUAGAUGGCCCUCGCAUAAGGAGGAGGGGUCAGCACUGAGCACGAAGACUUGUCCUUACCAUCCACAGUGUAGCUUCAACAACCUAUGUAGCAUUAUGUAAGGGACCCCACAGACUCCCUGCAGUGUGUACACGGGAAUGUCUAUGUAGGCACUAUUUUAGUUCCUGCUGUUGCUGUGAUGAAACAGACAAAAAGAAACUUACAAGAGGAAGGAUUUAUCUGGCUGACACUCUAAGGUUACAGGUCAUCACUAAGGGAAGUUAGGGCCAGAACUCAAGCAGAAACUUGAAGGCAGAAAGUCAUAGAACACUGCAGGGUGGCUCAAUAUUAGUUAGCUUUCUUAUAUAGCCUAGGGUCACCUGCCCAGGUAAUGCCACCCACAGUUGGCUGGGCCCUCCUACAUCAAUUAAUAAGACAAUCCCUCACAGACAUGCCCCAGAGCCCAGCCCAAUAAAGACAAUUACUCAAUUGA